GGGGCCGACCGGUUUUGACAGCGAGGCCAAUUGAACUGUAAGCAUGUCGAGCGUUGAUUUGUUGCUCGUAAAUAUGAUGAAUCAACUUUUUAAAUGGCGAAAAUAAUUACGCUUUAGCUGCUUAAUCUGAAUUUUAGU
rnacentral:tmRNA from 1 species